rnacentral:lncRNA from 1 species
CCCCUUCCCAGCCCUCAUUUAAGGGUUGGCAGUGGAGGUGAGGACAUCUUUUGCUGGAGAUCUCUGCCUACCUGAGGCCUUCCAAAGGACAUAUGCCUGCACAACUGUUUCACUGCCAGGCUCUUCAAAAGCACAAGCAGAGUAAGAGAGGUUGGAUCCUUCUGGUGGCAAUUCAGUACGUCUUUCAAUGGCCCAGCCACAACCAGGCAUGUCCUCACCAUCUGCUGUACAGAAAUCCCUCUGCACGUCCCUUUCCAGGAGAUGUAUGGGAUCAUGUGUGCCCAUGUUGGUGUGAUUUGCCAUAGAUUAAGUAGGACUUCAGCAGGACAAGCAUGAACAGGCAGAGCAUGCUGGCUAUGAUUACACUGGAAGACUGAGGGAUGCACACAAUCUCCCUGCUGUCAAGCCACAAAGCAGGAAUUCCCAAGUGAUGUCAGAGUAAGGUCUGCUCAAUACGAGGAGCCUUUGACACGGAAGCAGAAGUUUUCCAAGCUGUACUUUGAACUGUGGAACCACUACUGGGAGAAUUUUGUUCUGGCCUCGCUAACGCCUCUGAGAGCUUCAACCUGACUGGGCCCACUGCUGGAUAAUGCCAUAUUACACAUGUAUUUCAAGUGUUUGGAAAAGACUUGAGUGCAUGAGCAGGUGGAGAGUAGAAGCAAGGACAGAAAAAUCAAGAAGGAUUUACCAGAGCACAGGAGUGGGACGUGCAUGUAGAUAUCCUUUAAAUGGCAUAAGCAGCCUCCUCCAGACAUAUCUAAUGAUAAGAAAGUGUACCAAGCUCCCAAACCAUGGUCCAAAUUCACAGCUACGUGUGGCAGGCUUUCAAUCACAUCUACGUAGAACCAUAGAAUCAAUAAGGUUGGAAAAGACCUCCAAGAUCAUCCAGUCCAACCAUCCACCUCUCACCAAUUCCACACUAAACCACGUCCCUCGGUACAACAUCUAAAUG